AACGAACGCUGGCGGCAGGCCUAAUACAUGCAAGUCGAACGCACCGCCAGGUGAGUGGCAGACGGGUGAGUAACGCGUGGGAAUCUUCCUUGCAGUACGGAAUAACUCCGGGAAACCGGUGCUAAUACCGUAUACGCCCUUUGGGGGAAAGAUUUAUCGCUGCAAGAUGAGCCCGCGUCGGAUUAGCUAGUUGGUGGGGUAAUGGCCUACCAAGGCGACGAUCCGUAGCUGGUCUGAGAGGACGAUCAGCCACACGGGGACUGAGACACGGCCCAGACUCCUACGGGAGGCAGCAGUAGGGAAUAUUGGACAAUGGGCGAAAUCCUGAUCCAGCCAUGCCGCGUGAGUGAAGAAGGCCUUAGGGUUGAAAAGCUCUUUUGGCGGGGACGAUAAUGACGGUACCCGCAGAAUAAGCUCCGGCUAACUGCGUGCCAGCAGCCGCCGUAACAC
rnacentral:rRNA from 1 species